UGUUUCUUACUGUCAGGACGUAGAUGGACUAGUAGAAGAGGUUCAAGAGGCAAGAAGAAUCAGAUUAUUGCAUUAGCCAAGCAAGGUUAUGGCCAUGGAAUAUGAACUUCGUGCUCUAAGGGAUCAAAUUCAAGAAAAAUCUAUAUUUUCAAUUCAGUUUCAGAAAGAGCUAACAAUGAGCAAGUGGGACAAGGAGAAUAAAUCUCAUUCAUAUAAGUUAGACGGUUCUGAAGCUUUGGGUUCAUACUUGCAAGUCAAGCCGUGCUCGAAUGAAGUGCUGCAGGUAUCAAAAUGUUCAUUUCAGUGGUAUCGCCUCUCAUCUGAAGGCAGCUGGAGGGAAGUUAUUUCAGGUACCGUUCUUCUAA